GACGAACGCUGGCGGCGUGCUUAACACAUGCAAGUCGAACGGUGAAGCGCCUUCCUUUUUGGUGGGUGUGGAUGAGUGGCGAACGGGUGAGUAACACGUGGGUAACCUGCCCCCUUCUUCUGGAUAACCGCAUGAAAGUGUGGCUAAUACGGGAUAUUCUGGGUCUGUCGCAUGAUGGGUCUGGGAAAGAUAUUGUUUCGGUGGGGGAUGGGCUCGCGGCCUAUCAGCUUGUUGGUGGGGUGAUGGCCUACCAAGGCGGUGACGGGUAGCCGGCCUGAGAGGGUGGACGGUCACACUGGGACUGAGACACGGCCCAGACUCCUACGGGAGGCAGCAGUGGGGAAUAUUGCACAAUGGGCGCAAGCCUGAUGCAGCGACGCCGCGGGAGGGAUGGAGGCCUUCGGGUUGUGAACCUCUUUCGCCAGUGAAGCAGGCCUGCCUCGUUUGUGGGUGGGUUGACGGUAGCUGGAUAAGAAGCGCCGGCUAACUACGUG
rnacentral:rRNA from 1 species